CCAGCUUAGGUAUGGCAGACUUUGAAAACAGCUUCCAAAGUAUUCAAGCUCUUCCGUUAAUUACAAGGUUUUUCCUCCUUGUUAAACUGAAUUAAGCAGUCUGGAAGCCAGUUUGUUGCUCAAUUGCCACCUGACAUCAUUUUUAAGUAAAUCAAUUACACUACCCCUUGAGCAAGUUGUGGUGUAAGCGCUUCAUUUUAUUGGCUGAUCUGAGGGGUCAGUGAGUCAAAGUUAACUUAUUUGGUAAUCUUUCUUAGGUAGCAAAGAGCCCAAGGAAUCAGCCUGCGGGUUUGCCACAUUUCCGAACAGCAUACACCUGUCGACCCUAAAGUGAGCGAGUGUGUGGUGAACAACCAGUUGCUUUUAAAGAAAAAAAUACAAAACUUCCACUGGCCUGCAGAGGUUUGCAACUCGGGCUGAGCGAGGUUCCAGCACUUCCGCUUCCAUGGAGGCUUGCUUUCUUGCCUCUGCUGGGAAUGAGAAGCAGGAGUCAGAGGUUCCGGGGCUGGGAAGGCACACCAGCACUGGGUUAUGGGAAGCCUCCUCCUGCUAAUGUGUAUUUAUACUUUGUAAGCUCUGAUUCAUCUGAGCCUUGAAACAGAAAUCUGCUUCCUGAGGUUCUGUUUUUAAAUAGAUAGUUUGCAAAAACAACAAUUAUUUUUCUUAACAUUUUUUUUCCAUCCCACAAGCAGCUAAACAUCCCGACUCAGGCUAUGUCAGGCUCCAACUAUGCCAACAGACAGCUUGGCUAUCAGAAGUAGAAGGGUGCCCCAGGGCAGUUCUGUGGGGUUCUGGCCCCAGAAGUCUUAAAAACAGAGUUCAGAAACCAUUAGGGCAAUCAUGUUGUGUCACUUUACAUCCAUGAGAUAUUCCUGGGUCUUAGAAUAAAGAACUUCCCCUUGUGAACAACUAACUGCUUUCCAGUGGUGGUUAAGUGCAAGUGGGGGUGAUGGUUGCAGGGCUUGGGUGCUGCCGCCUGGCACAGAAGGGCCUGCACACAGCGUGGCACCCUCUGAGACGGUGUCACGAGGGUGCGGCUCCCCCGCUUUGGACAUAAAUUCUACCUGUGUUACUUGCUCUUGCAUGCCAGGCACAGGCUCCUGGCUUAGACUGUGUUCCUUUCAAGUCCUGGGCAGCUUUUACAAGUCUUAAAUUAUGUAUCAUUAUGCACGGGUCCAGUAUUAACCUGUGAUAGGCAAGUUGGGGAAAUUAAC
rnacentral:lncRNA from 1 species